AACGUAGGUGGCGAGCGUUAUCCGGAUUUACUGGGCGUAAAGGGUGUGCAGGCGGGCUGUUAAGUGGUGUAUGAAAUCGCCGGGCUCAACCGGGCGAGGUUAUGCCAGACUGGCAGUCUAGAGAGCGAGAGAGGGACGUGGAAUUCCGGGUGUAGUGGUGAAAUGCGUAGAUAUCUGGAGGAACACCGGUGGCGAAGGCGGCGUCCUGGACCAACACUGACACUGAUGAGCGAAAGCCAGGGGAGCAAACGGG
rnacentral:rRNA from 1 species